rnacentral:lncRNA from 1 species
GCGAGGUGACGAUAAAAUUCAAUGGUCUGUCAAUCCACUGACAAAUUUUGAUUGAUGUUAAACAUUGAAUCCCGACAGGUUCCGAUCGCUUUUUUUUUUUAAAUUAAAUUUUCGUCAAUUAAUACUUUUUUAAUUAACAAAUGGCAUAUGAUGAAUCUCUAAAAACAAAUGGGUAAUUUGCGUCUGAAUGCAUUUCCUUGAUGCUACAUCACCUUGGAGAACUGAUGCCAAAA